AUUGAACGCUGGCGGCAGGCUUAACACAUGCAAGUCGAGCGAGUGGCGGACGGGUGAGUAAUAUCUGGGAACGUGCCCAGUGGAGGGGGAUAACUACUGGAAAGGGUGGCUAAUACCGCAUACCAUCGGAGCGGCCGAUAUGGGAUUAGCUAGUUGGUGGGGUAAAGGCUCACCAAGGCAACGAUCCCUAGCUGGUCUGAGAGGAUGACCAGCCACACUGGAACUGAGACACGGUCCAGACUCCUACGGGAGGCAGCAGUGGGGAAUAUUGCACAAUGGGCGCAAGCCUGAUGCAGCCAUGCCGCGUGUGUGAAGAAGGCCUUCGGGUUGUAAAGCACUUUCAGCGAGGAGGCGUUACCCACAGAAGAAGCACCGGCUAACUCCGUGCCAGCCGCCGCGGUAAUUC
rnacentral:rRNA from 1 species